rnacentral:lncRNA from 1 species
AAAAAGAACAAGAGGAUAAAAAGAACAAAAGAAUAUCAUCCUUCAUUCCAAUAUGCUUUUAGUGCGGAAAGAAAUGGCAUACAAGACCAAACUGCUCCCUGUCGCAUUACGCGAAAAACCGGCGGGAAAACGAAACAACAGAGCCACCACCGUGCGUUAUUUAUCCCAAAAGAGGGAAAGGAAACGCUCGAAGUAAACCUGGAAAAGACAUGGUCUCGCGACCGGAGAUUACAAGGAUCGGGAGUCGGUUAUGC